GAUAAACGCUGGCGGCGCACAUAAGACAUGCAAGUCGAACGGACUUAACCAUUAGUUUACUUUUGGAGCGGUUAGUGGCGGACUGGUGAGUAACACGUAAGCAACCUGCCUAUCAGAGGGGAACAACAGUUAAAGAAAUGACUGCUAAUACCGCAUAUGCCAUAAUCACCACAUGGUGAUAGUGGGAAAGGAGCAAUCCGCUGAUAGAUGGGCUUGCGUCUGAUUAGAUAGUUGGUGGGGUAACGGCCUACCAAGUCGACGAUCAGUAGCCGGACUGAGAGGUUGAACGGCCACAUUGGGACUGAGAUACGGCCCAG
rnacentral:rRNA from 1 species